rnacentral:lncRNA from 1 species
UAACAUACAAUUUUUAAUGGAAAUUACAGUCAAUAGCUUUCAAACAAACUAUAAUUAGGAAUCUAACUAAAAAAAAUAAAAAAGUCUCUAACAUUCCUGCAAUAUAUACUAUAUUGCCCUCACUAUUUAUUUAUUUUAUUUUUUGUUUUAUUUUCUUUCGGUAACUACUCCUAACUUUUGGUAACUACUCCUAACUAUUAUUGUUUUUCCAUAACCACAUACACUUCAUCUUCGACCAUCCUAUCAUCACCAUGGCACCAUCAUAAUACUUCUUUAUAUCCACGAUCACGGUUUCUCCGAAACCACAACCACCAGUUGCUUUAUAACCACUAUCGCUGAUCCGGUAACCGUCGCCGCUCCGGUCGCUGAUCCGGUAACCUCGCCGCUCCGGUAACCGCUGUCACUGCUGUAGCUACCACCACCACAUGUGUCUCUACCGUCGCAAUAAUCAUCACCUCUUCCGUAAUCUCCAUCAACUUCUUCAUGAACACAUCCAUCACAUGUCCACCAUUAUCAUAGCCACCAAGACCACCACUAACUCUGUAACCUCUGCUACAUCUUUCCAAUCUACCCAAUGAUUCUUCGAUCGUAACCACCAUC